GUGCUCGCUUCAGAGCACAUGUACUAAAAUUAGAAUGUUACAGAGAUUAGAAUGGCCCCUGUGCAAGGAUGACAUGCCAAUUCAUGAAGCGGUCCAUAUUUUU
ensembl:snRNA U6 U6 spliceosomal RNA